rnacentral:rRNA from 1 species
UGUGUAGGCGGUUGUCUAAGUUUGGUGUGAAAUCUCCCGGCUCAACUGGGAGGGUGCGCCGAAUACUGAAUGACUCGAGUGCGGGAGAGGAAAGUGGAAUUCCUGGUGUAGCGGUGAAAUGCGUAGAUAUCAGGAGGAACACCGGUGGUGUAGACGGCUUUCUGGACCGUAACUGACGCUGAAACACGAAAGCGUGGGUAGCAAACAGGAUUAGAUACCCUGGUAGUCCACGCCCUAAACGAUGCACAUUUGGUGUGGGUCAUUCAGUUGAUCCGUGCCGGAGCUAACGCGUUAAAUGUGCCGCCUGGGGAGUACAGUCGCAAGGCUGAA